CUGCCAAAUAACUGUAACUUUAUUCCAAUGGGAUUUGAAAUAGGGCUCAUCCAUGCAGCAUAAAGCCAAACUGUAAUCAUCUUUGCACCAUAUUGUUCUGGGGUCAGCAUCCUCAGGGAUACAUUGGUGCAGCAAAUGAUGGAAGGAAGCUGGAGAGGAAAACCAAAGUGAAUUCAGCCAAGGCAGGAUAAGCUUCUCUUCCAGCCAUGCUGGCAGAUUUCUUUUACCUUCCUUCCUAUGCUUAAAGUUUUGAGUACAGACUUAGUUUAUUCAGCUUCCAAGAUGUGUUCUUGUUCAAAAGGUGUUUUAUUGUGUGGAGCCAGAGAAAAGAAACAUGAGGAACAACCAGGCACCAACAGCACAUUAAGAAGAUGUGUCAUUGACACAGAAUAUCAAUGAUAAACGAAUCCAGAUUCUGUUUUUGAGGACAUUGUGUUCCAAGAGAGGUACAUAAAUCUGACUAAAAUGCCUUGCCCA